rnacentral:rRNA from 1 species
UACAGAGGGUGCAAGCGUUAAUCGGAAUUACUAGGCGUAAAGCGUGCGUAGACGGUUACAUAAGUCGGGUGUGAAAGCCCCGGGCUCAACCUGGGAAUUGCAUUCGAGACUGCGUAGCUAGGGUGCGGAAGAGGGAAGCGGAAUUUCCGGUGUAGCGGUGAAAUGCGUAGAUAUCGGAAGGAACACCAGUGGCGAAGGCGACUCACUGGACACGUAUUGACGCUGAGGCGCGAA